CAGUAGCCGCAGUAAUACGUAGGUGGCAAGCGUUGUCCGGAAUUAUUGGGCGUAAAGGGCUCGCAGGCGGUUUCUCAAGUCUGAUGUGAAAGCCCCCGGCUCAACCGGGGAGGGUCAUUGGAAACUGGGAAACUUGAGUGCAGAAGAGGAGAGUGGAAUUCCACGUGUAGCGGUGAAAUGCGUAGAGAUGUGGAGGAACACCGGUGGCGAAGGCGACUCUCUGGUCUGUAACUGACGCUGAGGAGCGAAAGCGUGGGGAGCGAACAGGAUUAGAUACCCCAGUAGUCCCUGUCUCUUAUAC
rnacentral:rRNA from 1 species